GACAGUGUGGCCGAGUGGUUAAGGCGACUGACUCGAAUUCUUCUCGGGCUAUCAGUUGGGAUUUUCCCGCGCAGGUUCAAAUCCUGCUGCUGUCG
rnacentral:tRNA from 1 species